rnacentral:rRNA from 1 species
AACGAACGCUGGCGGCAUGCCUAACACAUGCAAGUCGAACGGGAUCCUAGCUUGCUAGGUGAGAGUGGCGGACGGGUGAGUAACACGUGGGAAUCUGCCUUUUGGUUCGGGAUAACCGCGGGAAACUGCGGCUAAUACCGAAUGCCCUCGUGAGAGGAAAGAUUUAUCGCCAGAAGAGGAGCCCCGCGUCCGAUUAGGUAGUUGGUGGGGUAAAGGCCUACCAAGCCGACGAUCGGUAGCUGGUCUGAGAGGAUGAUCAGCCACACUGGGACUGAGAUACGGCCCAGACUCCUACGGGAGGCAGCAGUGGGGAAUAUUGGACAAUGGGGGCAACCCUGAUCCAGCAAUGCCGCGUGAGUGAUGAAGGCCUUAGGGUGUAAAGCUACUUUUGCCAGGGAAGAUGAUGACUGUACCUGGAGAAU